GAUGAACGCUGGCGGCGUGCCUAAUACAUGCAAGUCGAGCGAACAGAUGAGGAGCUUGCUCCUCUGACGUUAGCGGCGGACGGGUGAGUAACACGUGGAUAACCUACCUAUAAGACUGGGAUAACUUCGGGAAACCGGAGCUAAUACCGGAUAAUAUAUUGAACCGCAUGGUUCAAUAGUGAAAGACGGUUUUGCUGUCACUUAUAGAUGGAUCCGCGCCGCAUUAGCUAGUUGGUAAGGUAACGGCUUACCAAGGCAACGAUGCGUAGCCGACCUGAGAGGGUGAUCGGCCACACUGGAACUGAGACACGGUCCAAACUCCUACGGGAGGCAGCAGUAGGGAAUCUUCCGCAAUGGGCGAAAGCGUGACGGAGCAACGCCGCGUGAGUGAUGAAGGUCUUCGGAUCGUAAAACUCUGUUAUUAGGGAAGAACAUAUGUGUAAGUAACUGUGCACAUCUUGACGGUACCUAAUCAGAAAGCCACGGCUAACUACGUG
rnacentral:rRNA from 1 species